UGCAUGGAAAGCAUAAGGCGUGGCUAACAUUUGAAAGCUUGAGCAAGAUACCGAGCAAGCAUACAAACUCUGUAGAUCCUCCAUAUGACGUUGAGAAAAAGUGCAUUAGUAGUUUAGAAGAUAUCCGGAAAUACGUGAAUCAAUAUGUAAUGACGCAAAACCACAACUGUUUGUGCUUAUAGGAAACCAGAUCGUGACUACAACUCAGUUACUAAGUCUAAUCACACUGUGUUGUUACACUGCCUUCCUCUCCUCUGAAAACCCAGUGAGGGUGGCGCUCAGCCAGAGAGCUGUUGAGGGGCUGGUUAGGAAGAACACGUCUACAGCCAGAGAGUGGCAGUCAAGAACUGGAACGGCAAGGCCACAGAACAUGACAUAAGCAGAGCUGUGGGAGACCACCUCAAGCCCCUGGUAGAGCCGGGGGUGGUGUUUACCACUCCACCACACCUUCAGCAGGCUGGAAAAGUGGGAUUGAUCUGUUUUGAUCCAUUUGUUUGUUUCAGUUUUCAGUAGUUGAAUAUUUUGACGUAAUGUUGAUUUCAACAUUUUUCAUAUUCAACAAAUGGGUGGUUGAAAAGUGAUACUAAACAUACAUACCAUUGUGGAAGAUUUACUGAAUUUACACUAAGAUGGACCAAGAUGUGUGUUGCUUUUGCACAUAUUUGUUCAUUGGUUUAGCAAGAGUCUGUUGGUCAGUCAUCCAGUUCAUUUGUUUUGCAAUAUGUUCAAAUCAAGUAAAGCUUUAUUUAUACAGCAAAUGUCAGACAGAGCGUUUUAGAGGAUAUUAGAGGAUAUUACUAUUGAACUAUGUACCCAUUUAAUAACCAGACCUUCAUACAAACUUGCUCUGCUGAAUUCAUGCCGGAGUCACAACGGGCGGCCUAAGCGGCAUACAGCUAUUUAUCUAGUGUACAUUCACCCUCAGUCACCUUGUCCUACAGAUAUUUACAUGUUUAUCAAAACAUCACACCACGGUGAGCCUAAACAAAACACAGCCCUGUGGGAAUAAUGAAUGGUGGAAAAACAAUGUGAGCCAUUUCCGUUUGACCUGUAGUUGUUAUGGAUAUUAUGACUACAGAUUCCCACAGUGGACAGGUCACAAUAUGUUACAUUGAUAAAGCAGACUUUAUUUAACCUCAAUGUCAUCUUGUUUUUACAUGGUGUUGUAGAUUGCAGCGGUAUACAGGAUGUAUU